GAUAUGCCGGUCUCUGUCGCCCUGUCGCGGAUCGCCACGGCUGCCAACACCCGGCGCCGCCUCCUUCGCUGCUGAUCAACGCCGCCACCAAGCCAGGCACUGCCUUCGCCUCGCCGUCGUCCCCCUGUGUCAACUUCCGCCUCCACCGCGCGCAAAACCAAUCGCCAUCGCGCCCCCGCUCCCGUUACGCUUGGCCUCCCUUGCUGGCGGCCCUGCCCAGUGCGGCCUUCCUCACCACGCGCUGCCUCCUGUGUCGCCAGCAUCACGCCCAGCGUCGCCUCCCCCUCCGGCGCGCCUGCAGCCUCCACCGUACAAUGGAGUCGCCGCCGCUGCCACCCCCUUCCCUGGACGUGCUUCCUGUUUGCAACAAUCAAGGUGGAUUAAAGCGGCCGUGAGGUCAAGGAGAGGGAAGGUCCAGGUAUCGGAGAGGAGGAAGAAGGUGGUGAAAGCUGUUCUGUUGCUGCUGAUCCUUUCCAAGCUAGACACGCCCAUGUUUUGUUGCUGCCGAUCGUGUAUCAUAGUGCCCACAAUAUGUUUGAGCCAGCUCAGUAUUCAGAGGUAGAGGAAUAGCCUGCAAGUGCACGCAUUCGUGAUGCUUGCGCGGCGAGCCUUCUUCCUGGCCACCACCGGCACCACCAACGCCACCGGGAAGUAUUCAUCCGCCAAUCCAGUUGCGGCGGCGCCCUCCUCCGAGACACUCUCAGCGAGCCCCCUCACCUAAUCAACCCCAUCCUGUUGUGUCACGUCUUCCUUCAAUUCGGCGGACAUCGACUCGCCGGCUCGGCUCUAGACUCACUGGCGAGUGGACCGGCGAGGGAAGAUUAUGGCAUGGAGAUUAGUCCUAUAUGCAAAAGGAAAACGGAGAACGCCUCCAACACGAUAGCCAUGGGUGCCCGACCCGGAUUUCACAUAUUCUUCGGUGUCAUAAAAAGGAAGCCUCGACCGGAUCACAUCGCAAGUUCUAAAGACAAACGGUCCAAUGUCGCCUCCUCCAACUUCGCGGGAAGACCAUCCACCGUUGUCUCUGUGGACUUCGCUGCAAGACCAUCCGCCGUUGCCUCCGCCGACUUUGCCGGAAGACCAUCAGUUGUCAUCUCCGCCUACUUCGCCGCAGGUAUCUUUUUUUUUUUUGCAAAUUAUGAUGCAACUAUUUUUGAUUUACAACCAGAGCUUACUGAUGGUUAUAGGAUGAAAAAACGCGCAUAUAAGUUGCAAGAUUUUGAAUAGCAAUUUCUAUGUAUAUGUUCUCCUGCACUUGUGCUGAUAAACUCACUCACUCACUCACAUGGACUGUGGUUAAUUAGAUGAGACAGUCACAUGUGAGGAUGAAAGCUUGGAUCAGCUUCUGUAGUCGCUAUCUUUCAUUUACAACCGAGUUUUCUUAUGGUUAUAGGAUAGAAACUUUGUAUUAUUUUGCCAUCUUCUUUCCUUCGUGAAACUAGCUGCAGCAAGUAGCAAUUUAAACUGAUGCGAGAAAGUAUCUAUCUUUAAUGUCCAACUGAAGAUUUUUCAGUUGAAAACAUCAACCAAGAUACAACAAAUCCUCAUGGUCAGCAAUCUUACCGUUAUAAAGUUUCAGUCAUCCUUUUAGAUAAUUAGGCCUGAGCUCGUUAACUUCCCAUCUUAAGAAACUGUUGUCAAGGUAGUAGUGGAUGCUGCAAUUGAUAAUUACUUGUGCUCUGAGAUGGUGGCUCCUAAAAAUGAUUCAGCACAUCCUUGUGAUUUUGAAGACAAAAAAGAAAGAGAUUUCUCUUACUUGCUGGAUAUACUAUUACUAAUUGCUUCUGCAUUGAGUAUCAGCUGUAUAAGGUGCGCCAGUCCCUUUGACUAUUUUGCAUGCAAUGAUAUGUUUGGCAUGCUUGAAAAAAUACAAGAAACUUACUAAGUGGUCAAGGGCACAAAGUAAAACUUACUGUAACUUAGCUACCAAUGUGACAUACUACUGGUCAGGUUUUACCACUCACCAUUAAUAUGCUGAUGGAGUUCUCCAAUUCUGAAAACAAAUUCACCAUGCAUUGAAUGGAUCAUUCAAUUGUGCAAUGCAAAUGGUGUGUCCUCUGUUAGUCAGAGGAUCUGAGAAUCGGGAUAGAUCAGGAUGGGUUUCAUAUGUGAAAUUUUGCUUAAUGGACGCUCCAAGUUUCCUCUAAUCAGCAGACCUAUGGGAUACGGGCCUCUGUUUGCCCCUGGUACUCCUGAUGCAGGAGCUACACUUCCAGUUUGACUGCCUGAGGGAAGGGUCUCGCUUCAGUUGCUUUGGGUCAUUAUAUGUUUUUAUUGUUGAAGGGUGGUACGUGUGCUUAACCGUGUCCAGAACUGAACUUUAGUAGUAGGGACAGCAAAAUUAUCUGAAAAAUACUGUAUAAAUGGUCAUAGAAUGCCAAACAGUUAAGAAAAACUGUAAAGAAAUGCGAACCGAAAGGAAGGGGAAAAUUGUUUUCUAAUGUUAGAAGUCCGAUUGAACUCAGUAGUGGUUAUCUUAUCUCUGUUGGCUCUAUGAUAACCUUCUUAUAUAUGCAAGUUACUCUGAAGCAGCAAGAUAAACAAGGUGAUGUAUCAUGAAAAUAGGGUCUACGUAGCAUAAUCUAAUUUGUGUAUCUUUUCUCCUACAUUCAUUUCUUUACUUUGGUCCAUAAGUUUCCAGAGAUCUA